AAUUAUUGGAGGCUCUAACCUGCCUUUAAAUGAGCUUAUCUAAAUAUGAACUGCAGGUUUAGCUUUAAGCUGGUGCUGUUGUUAAAUAUUCGUGGUCAAAUAUUCAGAAAACAUAAAAUCAUAGAGUGGAUUAGUGGUUAGGACCUUAAAACCCAUCCAGUUCCACCCCCUGCCAUGGGCUGGGUUGCCAUGAAUGCAUCUUUCAAGCUAUGGUCCCAGGAAUGAAUCAUUCUAAAUUUAAGCCUAAUUAUUCACAGUAGAUUCAUCAAAGUGCAUUACAGCCCAACGCUUCUGUUAAGCAGCACAAACCCAAGCACUGACAAACAGAAGUAGAAACAAAGUGAGUUACCACUGAGAUGUGCAGCACGACUGCCUUCUUGUGCAAAACGGAACCAAACUUAGCUUAAAAUGCCACGAAAAUGGCUCAGCCCAAAAAUGAUUGUGGGGUUUUGCAAUUUGUGCAUUGUUGGGAGUCCAUGCUCACGAAACAAGUAGUUCAGUGGUGUGCAGCUAUCUGAAAUGCAGCAUUAAUUCUGGCACUAAGUGAUGGAGUCAGCAACUGAUGCAAUUCUGCAGUAUUAACAGGCCUGCUUAUGGAAAGCUGCAGUGCAAUGGGGAAGGACUUCUGAGUAGGAGCAUGGAAGAGAUCACCAGGAACAAGUGCUGUGAUGUGACAGACCCUCGUUUUCACCAACCAAGAUGCAGCUCUGUUAGGGGAUGCCUGGUUUUCAACAAGCUCUGCAGACUGCAGUUGCAAUGGCUCAGCUUCUUCUCCCUAGAAGCCCCUCUCCUGGUCCCAUAUGACGAGGCUGUGGCCAUCGUUUGACUUACUUCAUGAAAGGAAAACUGGCAUUUAAAGUUAAAGGCACGGGAUCAGCGUUACCUGCAUGUGACAACCCCGGAGGACACCGACUGAGAGGCAGAGCUCUCCUGCACUGCUUUCCUCCCACCCCACUUUUUUUUAGGAAGGGAGAGAAGGAAUUAUUAUUUUUU
rnacentral:lncRNA from 1 species